rnacentral:rRNA from 1 species
UACGUAGGGGCAAGCGUUGUCCGGAUUAUUGGGCGUAAAGAGCUCGUAGGUGGCCUGUUACGUCUGCUGUGAAAUCCCGGGGCUUAACCCCGGGCGUGCAGUGGAUACGGGCAGGCUGGAGGCAGGCAGGGGAGAACGGAAUUCCUGGUGUAGCGGUGAAAUGCGCAGAUAUCAGGAGGAACACCGGGUGGCGAAGGCGGUUCUCUGGGCAUGUCCUGACGCUGAGGAGCGAAAGUGUGGGGAGCGAACAGG